rnacentral:lncRNA from 1 species
ACCACCACCACAAACAACAACAACAAAACAACCUUCAGCCUUUAAGCCCGUGCCUCCAGUGAAAAACUUGUUGCUUUUUCAGAUUCUUGACUUCGCAACACUCACUGGUGUGAAACGGUCCAGAAAGUUCUCCCAGGCCCCCAAGUCCCAAGUCCAGAGACUGCGAAGAGAUUUCUUGUUGCAAAGCGGAGCAUCUGGCACAACAUCUCUGAACUGCCUGACAUCCCAGCCCCAGACAGACUGAUUGUAAACCCCAAGGUUUUACCCACUGAGGAAGUCUGGGUCUGCCUGCUUUCCUCCAUGGGUAGCAUUCGUCAACUACCGGGAGUGGUUUUCUGAAGGCUGCAGAUAAACAAAGCCCUGUUUAGAGGAUUGGGCCGGGCCUGAGAAAGCUGGGCAAGGUAGGAACUGCUCAGGCUGGGAGAGCAGGAGAACAGGUUCUAGGGCAUUGUGGGUCUGGGGUUGGACGGAGCCAGCUAGCUCUGCAUGAUCUGGAGGAACAGGAGGAUGGUUUGUGCUCAGCUUGAGAAAAUCUACACACAAGCAUAACAUCGUUGUUUACUAGCGAUUGGGCUAGUGUCCUGGGUUCCACUAGGGUACUUCCAUGUGGCAUGUAAUGGAAUUCAAACAAUUCACUCCAUCCCCUCCGCAUUCCCCUCCCUCCCACACUCUUGCACUUUCUCCCCCCUAGACUUCAAAAUAUAAAAGAAAACACGAAAUUCUUGUCUUUCUUUUUUUUUUUGAGGGUGCCUUAUUUUGCCUAACAUAAUUUCCAUUUCUAUCCAUUGAAACUGAGUAAUUUCAUGGAG